AAGGAUUUGAGGAUCCACGGAAUAUCUGUAGAAGUUGACAGAGAGGCUGCUCAUCUUGGAGUAGUAGUGAAUCAGCUGGCUUGCCGAGAGUUUCUCCCUAGAACUGACUUCCCAGAAAUCCUACUGAAGUCACAGAAUACUGCAUGUGCAAAGCCAAAUUAAAACACAGAAGUCAUCUUCAUUUAUUUAGUCCUUGUUGGGGUCAUGUCUGUUUGAAAAUUUAAGAAGCAGAUGAUGUCUGAGAAUAUUCCUGAAGCUCAGAUUCCAAGGACCAGCGGAAUUGACCAGAAGGAACCUCAGAAAGGAAACAGGAGGGGAGAGCUGGAGAAAGCUGGACGGCAGCUGUGUUGACUGGAGGAACCUCGAGGAGCUGAGAGAAGGAGAGGAUCGCCACAGGCAAAUGCUGGCCAACGCCACGUCCGACUCCCAGCCUUUCCCAAGUGGCCCGUUGGCUCCCGGUGCUCCACUCACAGCCCACAGAGGCCCGCAAGUGUCCGGGGGUCCCCUGGGCCACCAGCCCCCCAGGGAAGAGGAGGGUCACGUGCUGAGGGCUCAGGGAUCGAGGCUCCCCUGCAGGUGUGGCCCGGCCCACGGCAGCCGGGUCCUGGUCACCCACAGCCUCGGCGCAUCUGCAAGUGUUUUCUGUCUUCACAGUCGUUUUCACUGAUCUCUUCUUGGUUUAGUUGCUGUCAUUUAAUUGCCGCUACGGUCGUUCUUAUUCAAGUAGAUAUAACAUAAUUUUGGGAUAGUGUUUUUCAAAUAAAGAUUCAUUUGACAUAA